rnacentral:rRNA from 1 species
UACGGAGGAUGCAAGCGUUAUCCGGAUUCAUUGGGUUUAAAGGGUGCGUAGGCGGACUAUUAAGUCAGUGGUGAAAGCCUGCAGCUUAACUGCAGAACUGCCAUUGAUACUGAUAGUCUUGAGUUUGGUUAAGGUAGGCGGAAUGUGUAAUGUAGCGGUGAAAUGCUUAGAUAUUACACAGAACACCAAUUGCGUAGGCAGCUUACUGAGACGACACUGACGCUGAGGCACGAAAGCGUGGGGAUCGAACA